rnacentral:lncRNA from 1 species
AUGAGGAGUUUGAAAUCCCAGCUGGAAGCUUACCGUGAACUGAUGAACAAGAACAGUACACAUUGGCAAAAUACUGUUAAGAGCCUGAGGGAAAGAAACAGACAACUGAGCCAAGACAAAGAAGAUCUUAUUCACCAAAUGAAGCAACAAACAGAAAAAUGGGAAGAACAAAAGGUCUCCAUUCUAGAAAAUCUGUCAAAAAAAAUAAACCGUCUUUAUACCCAGCACACAUUGACUUUGCAGGGACUUCACACCAUCAGUCUAUAUGUGGAGAGAGUGCGUGACCUCAUGAAUUUCCAGAUAAAAAUUCUUCAACAAAAGUCUGAAAAGACAGAAGAAGAAAAAGCCGAUGUGCCAGUGAUUUUAAAAUUAAAGGCAGAACAAGCAGCUGAUGAAGAGAAGCCUGAAUGUUUAAUGGAAACAGAACCUCUUUGGCAAGCACACACCAUGUUGCAAAAGAUACAGGAAUCUAUACAGAAACAAGAGAGAGAAGUCAGUGAGACCCUAGAAGGUGAAAGAAGAUACUACAAAGCAAUGAAACCUCAAAUCAAGAUGCUAAUAUUCUUGAAAAAUCUUGCCAAGAAGGACAGAGCUCUCAAUGAAGCUUUUCAGAAAUCUUGGGAAAGCAAAAUCUGA